rnacentral:rRNA from 1 species
UACGGAGGGGGCUAGCGUUGUUCGGAUUUAUUGGGCGUAAAGAGCGUGUAGGCGGCCAGGUAGGUCUGCUGUGAAAACUCGAGGCUUAACCUCGAGCUGUCGGCGGAAACCAUCUGGCUAGAGUCCGGAAGAGGAGAAUGGAAUUCCCGGUGUAGCGGUGAAAUGCGCAGAUAUCGGGAAGAACACCCGUGGCGAAGGCGGUUCUCUGGGACGGUACUGACGCUGAGACGCGAAAGCGUGGGGAGCGAACAGG